UGCAGGAGGUACUUGGCACUCUCAAACCAGCCCAAGUUGGCACUGGUGCCAGCUUGGUCCUGGGAGGCAUCCUGCGAUAUGCGGAAUUUUAAAAGCCAGAAGGCUGCUCUGAGCCACCGGCCCUGGAACAAAAAACCGCCCCUUUUCCCAGGAGCCAGAAGGCUGCUCUGAGCCACCGGCCCUGCAACACCAACGCUGCCCCUUUUCCCAGUUUGCAGGAGGUACUUGGCACUCUCAAACCAGCCCAAGUUGGCACUGGUGCCAGCUUGGUCCUGGGAGGCAUCCUGCGAUAUGCGGAAUUUUAAAAGCCAGAAGGCUGCUCUGAGCCACCGGCCCUGGAACAAAAAACCGCCCCUUUUCCCAGUUUGCAGGAGGUACUUGGCACUCUCAAACCAGCCCAAGUUGGCACUGGUGCCAGCUUGUUCCUGGGAGGCAUCCUGCGAUAUGCGGAAUUUUAGGAGCCAGAAGGCUGCUCUGAGCCACCGGCCCUGCAACACCAACGCUGCCCCUUUUCCCAGUUUGCAGGAGGUACUUGGCACUCUCAAACCAGCCCAAGUUGGCACUGGUGCCAGCUUGGUCCUGGGAGGCAUCCUGCGAUAUGCGGAAUUUUAGGAGCCAGAAGGCUGCUCUGAGCCACCGGCCCUGCAACACCAACGCUGCCCCUUUUCCCAGUUUUCAGGAGGUACUUGGCACUCUCAAACCAGCCCAAGUUGGCACUGGUGCCAGCUUGGUCCUGGGAGGCAUCCUGCGAUAUGCGGAAUUUUAAAAGCCAGAAGGCUGCUCUGAGCCACAGCCCCUAGAACACAAAAACCGCCCCUUUUCCCUGGG